UCCCAGGUGGCUCAGAUGGUAGAGAAUCUGCCUGCAAAGCAGGAGACCUGGGUUUGAUUCCUGGGUCGGGAA
rnacentral:tRNA from 1 species